rnacentral:rRNA from 1 species
UACGUAGAGUGCAAGCGUUGUCCGGAAUUAUUGGGCGUAAAGAGCUCGUAGGCGGUUUGUCGCGUCUGCUGUGAAAACUCGGGGCUUAACCCCGGGCCUGCAGUGGGUACGGGCAGACUAGAGUGCGGUAGGGGAGACUGGAAUUCCUGGUGUAGCGGUGAAAUGCGCAGAUAUCAGGAGGAACACCUAUGGCGAAGGCAGCUCGCUGGGACGUGACUGACGCUGAGACGCGAAAGCGUGGGGAGCAAACAGG